CGGGACUCAUGAUAGAAGGACUGUAUCACACGGUAACUGCACCAAGAGGUUCAGUAUUCCAUUCUACUGGAAUGCCACUAUAUGCUGCUAGGCGUCACUGGUGGAUUGUGAGACUCAUGAGAAUUAUCUAGAUGAUCGAUCAUUUUCAUUGGGCUGAGUUGGAAUUAUUUCGAUCCACUGAAAAGAGUUUCAGUGAUAUUGUUGAUAGUGAUCAAAAUAUAUCUCACUACCAGUUAGAAUAGAACCUAUGGGGUCACACACAUAAGAGGUUGUGAUUGAUCGGAUAGCUAGAUCGCGAUUAUUGAAUCGCCGGAGGACCUAAUUGUCAAUAUGUUGAUAAUUGGACUAAUUUGUAAUUGUUACAAAUUAGUGGUAUUAAGGUGUAAAUGUUACAAGAGAGGAUUUACUAAUAGUUAGUAAAUUAUAAGAGGACUUAUGUGCAAAUAUUGCAUUAUUAAUUUGAUAAGAUCAUAUUAAUAUAAAAUUAAAGAUCGAAU
rnacentral:lncRNA from 1 species